rnacentral:rRNA from 1 species
AUGCAGUUGUUACCGGGCGGAAAUUAUCAACCGGUAAUACUGAAGCUGGAGAAUGAGUGGCUGGUCCGGGCACUGGUCCUCGCGAGCCUGGCGACGCAUCUUGUCCUGGUCCUCGUCGCCGGGACCCGCCGGCGUCGAGCCAGCGGUUUGUGCAGAGGACUCCUGUGGUUUUGUUACCAGGUGGCAAGCUGGGUGGGGACACACUCUAUCAGCAACCUCAUGCUGGGCGCCGUCACAUCCAGGGAGAAGCACCUGCACGCCUUGUGGACUCCCUUCCUGCUCAUGCACCUCGCCUUGCCGGACAACAUCAGCGCCUACUCCCUCGAGGACAGCGCGCUGUCAGGCCGGCAACUGGCGAGCGCCAUCGGGCAGAUCAGCGGAGCCAUAUUUAUCCUGUACAAGAACUUCAUCUUCGUCCGCGACGCCGACGCCGGGACCUUGUGGCAGGCGUCCUACCUCAUGUUCACCCUGGGUCUUUACAAGUACGUAGAGAGUGUGUGGGCGCUCUGGCAAGGUAGUCUGGGAACCAUCCGGGGGUCAAUCAAGGAGAUGAAGCCCAAGGUUCUGAGCCCUGCAGAGUGUAAAGUCCAUGGUUUGGACAACGAGCAAGCCUUGCUGUUUGCCCAUAAACUGCUGCACAUCGGCAAGGGUGCCUUUGCGGACUAUCCCAUCAUUUUGAAGCCGGUGGUGAGGCGUCAAGAUGAAAUAAGAGCCUUCUGCCAAUCUGAAGGUUGGCAGGACAUGUGCAGAGUGGUGGAGAUGGAGCUGUCCCUCGUAUACGACGUCAUGCACACCAAGGCGGCCAUCGCACACAGCUGGCCGGGUUACUGCAUCCGCGUCAUGUCGCCGCCCUUCACCGCCGCCGCUUUGCUGCUCUUCUGGUCCGACAGCAAAGUCGGUGAGAGUGGUGCGGACGUCAUGGUGACAUACGCCUUGCUCCUUGUGACACUCAUCCUUGAUGUCGGGUGGCUACUCGGAACGCUAGGGUCCACAUGGACAUGUGCAUUCCUGACGCAUAGGCCGCAACAUUGGCUUCUUCACUGUUCGCUGGGGAGAUGCCAUCGGCAGCUCCGUAGCUUGGGCUUCGUCGCCGGCAAGGAUGCAACUAAAUACAGGUUGUGGUCGGGCACCAUGGGGCAGUACAACCUGUUAAGUGAGAACUGUCGCGGAAGAAGGGCCAGCAAGCUAGUAAAGAGGCUUUCAGCCGAAGAUGCUUGGAUGGAAUACACAUACGGCUGCUCCGAGGGCAUUGUACUAUCACCAUGUGUCAUGGACUUGGUGUUCCAAUGGGUAUGUGAAAUUCUUGAAGAAGCCUUCCCAGAGGAAGAGGAAGAAGAAGAAGAAGAAGAAGAAGAAGAAGAAGAAGAAGAAGAAGAAGAAGAAGAAGAAGAAGAAGGAACAAGUACAGACGAAGAAAUUGCUGUCCCGGUGACCUCCAAAAUUACCGCCAAAGCGGAAAUAGGUAUGGAGACCGGCCCAGAUCCAAGCGGUGCCCUAAAGAGACAAGCGGCAUUAGGCAAAGUUCUUGGUAUCGGCUCCGAGUUCCCAGAGUUGGUCCUUAAGUGGCAUGUGGCAACCGAAAUUUUCCUCCUGUGCAGGCCGAGGCCAACAGCAUCCGGCAGCUGCAUCGAGUGCAAACACGUCGAGGCUAUACAGGGGCUGUCGAACUAUAUGAUGUUCCUCGUCGCUGUACGCCCCGGCAUGCUACCGGGCCUCAACCUCCGCAGCAUGCUCGACGCCACGUGGAUGGCGUUGGACUCUCUGUACCGUGAUCGUAAAGGGAAGUGCACAUCUGGUCGAAAAACUAAGAGGGGCCUUGCAGAAAUCCUGCAAAAAAAGGUAGCGGCAGCGACUGACCAUCUCCACCGCAAGAGUGCCGUUCUCUCGGAUGGAACGUUCUACGCUGAGGUAAUGCUCUUCCGGAUGGGGGCAUGUUGCUCGUGGGUUUGGCCCCACGGCAAGUGGUCGGAGGAGCACCAGGACAGAUGGACCGGACCACUUCGUACUUUGGCGCCGGGCUUGUACCACAACGUCAACAAGCCUCUGCAGAUGGAGGAGAUGUUGGAGAUCAUCUUGUAUGGAUGGGUGCGCUUGCUCGUACACGCGUCCACACGAUGUGGCCCCGACUCCCAUGCCAAGCAGCUCAGCCGUGGCGGCGACCUCACCACUGUCGUCUGGAUGCUUGCGGAACACGCCGGCAUAUAUGGCAUCCGGGCAGACAAGACUAGUGAUCGGCCAUGUUGGUUUCCCUCUCCUGAUCCAGCCUGUGACUGUGUUGCGUCUUUUGAUCGUUUAAUUAAACAGCAUUAUGAAGCGCCUGGACCUCAGCAGACUGAGACUUAG